UUGAAACAUUGGUUCCCAUAUGAUCACUGAAGUUAAGCAACAUUGAGCCUGGUCAGUACCUAGAUGGAUGACCACUGGCAAAUGCCAGGUGUUGCAAGC